rnacentral:rRNA from 1 species
GACGAACGCUGGCGGCGUGCCUAAUACAUGCAAGUCGAACGCACAGCGAAAGGUGCUUGCACCUUUCAAGUGAGUGGCGAACGGGUGAGUAACACGUGGAUAACCUACCUCAAGGUUGGGGAUAACAUUUGGAAACAGAUGCUAAUACCGAAUAAAACUUCGUAUCGCAUGAUACAAGGUUAAAAGGCGCUACGGCGUCACCUAGAGAUGGAUCCGCGGUGCAUUAGAGUUGGUGGGUAAAGGCCUACCAAGACAAUGAUGCAUAGCCGAGUUGAGAGACUGAUCGG